GCAGUAUCCUAACUGUGCUAAGGUAGCAUAAUCAUUAGUCUUUUAAUUGAAGACUGGUAUGAAUGGCUUAACGAGAAAUUGACUUUUUUUACUAUUUAAAUUGAAUUUAAUUUUUUAGUGAAAAAGCUAARAUGUGUCAGAAAGACGAGAAGACCCUAUAGAGUUUUAUUUCAACUUAUAUUUUUUCUUAAUAGAUUUUCAAAGAAUAAAUUUAAUUAGAUAUUUUGUUGGGGCGACAUUAAGAUAUAAAAAACUCUUUAUUUUUAAAAUUUUUAUAAAAAUAUUUUAUGAUCCUCUAAAAGGGAUCAAAAGAAAAAAUUACCUUAGGGAUAACAGCGUAAUCUUUUUUAAGAGUUCUAAUCGACAAAAAGGUUUGCGACCUCGAUGUUGGACUAAAAUUUAGGCAGGGUGCAGCAGUUCUGCUUUUAGGUCUGUUCGACCUAUA
rnacentral:rRNA from 1 species